AGAUAGUAAGGUGGCGGACGGGUGAGUAACACGUAAAGACUUGCCCUGCAGUCUGGGACAACUACUGGAAACGGUAGCUAAUACCGGAUAUUGCCGCAUGGCGAAAGCUAUAUGCGCUGCAGGAGAGCUUUGCGUCCCAUUAGUUAGUUGGUGAGGUAACGGCUCACCAAGACCGCGAUGGGUAGCCGGCCUGAGAGGGUGAACGGCCACAAGGGGACUGAGACACGGCCCUUACUCCUACGGGAGGCAGCAGUGGGGAAUAUUGGACAAUGGACCAAAGUCUGAUCCAGCAAUUCUGUGUGCACGAUGACGGUCUUAGGAUUGUAAAGUGCUUUCAAUCGGGAAAAAGAAAGUGAUGGUACCGAUAGAAGAAGCGACGGCUAAAUACGUGCCAGCAGCCGCGGUAAUACGUAUGUCGCAAGCGUUAUCCGGAUUUAUUGGGCGUAAAGCGCGUCUAGGCGGUUUGGUAAGUCUGAUGUGGAAAUGCGGGGCUCAACUCCGUAUUGCGUUGGAAACUGCCAGACUAGAGUACUGGAGAGGUGGGCGGAACUACAAGUGUAGAGGUGAAAUUCGUAGAUAUUUGUAGGGAUGCCGAUAGAGAAGUCAG
rnacentral:rRNA from 1 species